rnacentral:misc_RNA from 1 species
CCAAACUUGGUCAUUUAGAGGAAGUAAAAGUCGUAACAAGGUUUCCGUAGGUGAACCUGCGGAAGGAUCAUUACAAAUUAUGGCGAACCUCGUGUUUCGCGAGGUCUUACGUCCAUUUUCGUAUUUAAAACAUCCCACUCUUUAAAAAAUAUUUAUCUAAUGAUAAAAAUAAAAAGAUCACUUUCAACAACGGAUCUCUUGGCUCUCAGAGACAGCCAAACUUGGUCAUUUAGAGGAAGUAAAAGUCGUAACAAGGUUUCCGUAGGUGAACCUGCGGAAGGAUCAUUACAAAUUAUGGCGAACCUCGUGUUUCGCGAGGUCUUACGUCCAUUUUCGUAUUUAAAACAUCCCACUCUUUAAAAAAUAUUUAUCUAAUGAUAAAAAUAAAAAGAUCACUUUCAACAACGGAUCUCUUGGCUCUCGCAUCGAUGAAGAACGCAGC